GACAGAGGAUGCAAGCGUUAUCCGGAAUGAUUGGGCGUAAAGCGUCUGUAGGUGGCUUUUUAAGUCCGCCGUCAAAUCCCAGGGCUCAACCCUGGACAGGCGGUGGAAACUACCAAGCUGGAGUAUGGUAGGGGUAGAGGGAAUUUCCAGUGGAGCGGUGAAAUGCGUAGAUCUUGGAAAGACCACCAAUGGCGAAGGCACUCUACUGGGCCAUAACUGACACUAAGAGACGAAAGCUAGGGGAGCAAAUGGG
rnacentral:rRNA from 1 species